rnacentral:rRNA from 1 species
GGCGGACGGGUGAGUAACACGUGGGACAAAAAAAAGAGGGGAGGAAUACCGGCGAGAAAUCGCCGACAAUACCCUUAACGUAUCACCACAAGAGAGCAAAGCUCGCAAGAGCGCCACUGGAUGAUCCUGCGGUCGAUUAGCUAGUUGGUGAGGUCAAGGCUCACCAAGGCGACGAUCGAUAGCUGGUCUGAGAGGACGAUCAGCCACACUGGGAUUGAGAACGGCCCAGACUCCUACGGGGGGCAGCAGUGAGGAAUUUUCGUCAAUGGGGGCAACCCUGAACGAGCAACGCCCCGUGCAGGAGAAGGUUUUCGGAUCGUAAACUGCUUUUCUCUGGGACGAGUACGGACGGUACCAGAGGAAUCAGCCCCGGCUAACUACGUGCCAGCAGCCGCGGAAAUACGUAGGGGGGGAGCGUUGUCCGGAUUUUUUGGGCGUAAGGGCUCCGCAGGCGGUUUGGUAAUUUUUGCGAGACAGUUCACGGAUAAACUGGGAAA